rnacentral:rRNA from 1 species
UACGUAGGGGGGCAAGCGUUGUCCGGAAUCAUUGGGCGUAAAGCGCGUGUAGGCGGCCCGGUAAGUCCGCUGUGAAAGUCGGGGGCUCAACCCUCGAAUGCCGGUGGAUACUGUCGGGCUAGAGUGCGGGAGAGGCGAGUGGAAUUCCUGGUGUAGCGGUGAAAUGCGCAGAUAUCAGGAAGAACACCCGUGGCGAAGGCGGCUCUCUGGGACGGUACUGACGCUGAGACGCGAAAGCGUGGGGAGCGAACAGG